CCUACGGGGGGCAGCAGUGGGGAAUAUUGCACAAUGGGGGAAACCCUGAUGCAGCGACGCCGCGUGAGUGAAGAAGCGUUUCGGCGCGUAAAGCUCUGUCAGCGGGGAAGAAACACGGUUCGCGAGAGCCGCGGACGGUACCCGACCAAGAAGCCCCGGCUAACUACGUGCCAGCAGCCGCGGUAAUACGUAAGGCCCGAGCGUUAUCCGUAUUCAUUGGGCUUAAAGGGAGCGUAGGCGGGCGUUCAAGUCAGCUGUAAAAUCGCGCGGCUAAACCGCGCACCGCAGUUGAAACUGGACGCCUUGAGUGCACAACAGGCAGGCGGAAUUCGUGGUGUAGCGGUGAAAUGCAUAGAUAUCACGAGGAACCCCGAUUGCGAAGGCAGCCUGCCGGGGUGCGACUGACGCUGAGGCUCGAAGGUGCGGGUAUCAAACAGGAUUAGAUACCCGUGUAGUC
rnacentral:rRNA from 1 species